rnacentral:rRNA from 1 species
CCCUUAGAUGUUCUGGGCGGCCCGCGCACUACAAUGGCGCUUUCAGCGAGUUCCUAUGUUGAAUUUUCCUUGGUAUUCUUGGAAGCGGCGUCUUGACUUGGGAUAGAUCCUUGUAAUUGUUGGUUUUGAACGAGGAAUUCCUUGUAAUCGCGGUUGAUCAGCUCGCGUUGAAUACGUCCCUGCCCUUUGUACACACCGCCCGUCGCUCCUACCGAUGAAUCGUCCGGUGAAGUUCACAGAGUGGCGGUUCGUGGAGUUGCUCGCGAAGUGAAAUGGACCUCACUAUUUAGAGGAAGGAGAAGUCGUAACA